CUCUACAUGGUGCCAAGCUCUAAUAAUGUGGCAAGGACGCUGUGGGAAACAAGACUUAGUCACAGACCAUGGUGCCUAAAAAUCAAUGACACAUCCUCUGAGAGAGCAGGAGAUACAUAAAUGGAAACCAUGAGUCAAGCUGCCCAGUCUUCCCAGUCCCAGUGGCUGCACACCAACUCCGGUGGGUGAAGCCAGGAUCACACUGGCUCUGGGGCAUUUUAUCCUUAUUGCCUCAGAAGUGGAGACACAGAAGCGGGGGUCAUUUUUGACAUUAGUCUCAAAAGCUUGGGCACUUCUGAACCAGAGUAAAAAUGGAAUAUGGCAUACACUUCUACCUGCCCAGAGUACAUCAUGAGAAACGCUGGGCUGGAGGAAGCACAAGCUGGAAUCAAGAUUUCUGGGAGAAAUAUCAAUAACCUCAGAUAUGCAGAUGAUACCACCCUUAUGGCAGAAAGUGAAGAAGAAUUAAAGAGUCUCUUGAUGAAAGUGAAAGAAGAGAGUGAAAAAGUUGACUUAAAGAUCAACAUUCAGAAAACUAAGGUCAUGACA